rnacentral:rRNA from 1 species
AUGGCUCAGGACGAACGCUGGCGGCGUGCCUAAUACAUGCAAGUCGAACGGUCUUUCUAUGGAAGCUUGCUUCCACUGAAAAGAUAGUGGCGAACGGGUGAGUAACACGUGGGUAACCUGCCCAUAAGAGGGGGGAUAACAUCCGGAAACGGGUGCUAAUACCGCAUAGUUUUCUUGAUCGCAUGAUCGGGAAAGGAAAGACGGCCUUUGUGCUGUCGCUUAUGGAUGGACCCGCGGCGUAUUAGUUAGUUGGUGAGGUAACGGCUCACCAAGACGAUGAUACGUAGCCGACCUGAGAGGGUGAUCGGCCACAUUGGGACUGAGACACGGCCCAAACUCCUACGGGAGGCAGCAGUAGGGAAUCUUCCGCAAUGGACGAAAGUCUGACGGAGCAACGCCGCGUGAGUGAAGAAAAGGUUUUCGGAUCGUAAAACUCUGUUGUCAGAGAAGAACAAGUUGGAGAGUAACUGCUCCAGCCUUGACGGUAUCUGACCAGAAAGCCACGGCUAACUACGUGCCAGCCGCUGC